GGCUUUAUGUUCUAAUACUUUAAAGCAUUAAGAUAGCAACAACGAUUGUUCUCCAUAUUGUCCUCCCAGAAGGUGAGUGGAAGUGUGCCUGCUGGCUGGGACCGUACGUGUUCAUUUGAAUGGCACAUGUCCAGGACUUUGAGACCUUGGUACAAUGUCUGGCUGCUCCUGAACUUGCUUUAUUCCAGCCUGGCCAGUGGGCCCACCCGAGACUCCCCACCAUUUCCAUGGUUACUACAUGGCCAUACCAAAAGGCAAAGCAGCAGCCUUCUGGGAACUUCCUAGAGCACCAGGACCACUGAGGAGGCAGAAAUAUCAUCAAGAGUCUAUGAGGACUGGGCCCCUCCCCACUUCCAGGUUUUGCUGGAAGAUUGUGUUUAGCAACCUCCUUUACAGCUGUACUUUGGCCACAUGACUGGAUUCUGGACAAUGGAAUGUGGAUAGGAAUGAUCUAACGUUAGAUGGAUCUAAUGAUUCCUGGUCCUCAGAGUGGAAAGUCAGACCUACACAGUACAGUCUGAGCUCACCAGGAAGUUCUAGAAAUGGUUCCUCAGGAUGUACCAAGGAAGGUAGCUCUGGGGGGUGGACAGUCCAGUGGAGCAAGGUGAACGUUUCACAGAAGCCUCCUACAGGAUAAGUAAGAUCUUGUGACCAGUUGUUCUAAUGAUGGCUCCCAAGGAACCCUCCUCCUGGUAUUCGUCAUCUUCUGUGAGCUCCUUCCAUAUGGACUCUGGACUUGGUCAUGAGACAUGCUUUGGCCCAUGGGACUUUGGAAACAGGGUGCACUGAGCUUCCGUGAGUGUUUGUGCCCUGCGGCUUGCUCUCAUGGAACACAGCUUCCCAGCUGUCCCAGAACCUGUCAUGCUGCCUCAACCCAUUUUUGUUGACAUGAACUUUUUUCUCCUAACAACCCCGUCAGCCUGCACCUAUGUCUUCUGGGAGUUCCGUAUAAUUGGUCGACAGAGGAAGAGAAGACUUGGGCCUGGGGUACAGAAGACUGCACUGUACACAGGCACCCCUUGA